rnacentral:snoRNA from 1 species
GCCCCGUGAUGAGACCAAGGCGAAUAUGAGCUGACUGAACAGGAGUUGAUGUGCUCUUGCCCUGAGUGAGUGGCAGGUAAUCUUGGCGGGGCAGAGGAGCCUUUCUGCUCCGCUGUAAGGGCCUGCCUACAGUGAAAGUGGCUUAGAUCAAAGUUAUUCUCUUUAAGUCUCAGAAGACUAAUGCAUACAAAAGCCCGACAGUUUGAGCGUGCGGUCGGACGACGUCUCAGAGGCACGAAACUUAUUCAGCUCCAAUUACUGUUCGGUUUGCAGUGAGUUUCCUCUUUGGUAAUCUGAGGGCU